AGAGUUUGAUCAUGGCUCAGAUUGAACGCUGGCGGCAGGCCUAACACAUGCAAGUCGAGCGGUAGCACAGAGAGCUUGCUCUCGGGUGACGAGCGGCGGACGGGUGAGUAAUGUCUGGGAAACUGCCUGAUGGAGGGGGAUAACUACUGGAAACGGUAGCUAAUACCGCAUAANGUCGCAAGACCAAAGUGGGGGACCUUCGGGCCUCAUGCCAUCAGAUGUGCCCAGAUGGGAUUAGCUAGUAGGUGGGGUAACGGCUCACCUAGGCGACGAUCCCUAGCUGGUCUGAGAGGAUGACCAGCCACACUGGAACUGAGACACGGUCCAGACUCCUACGGGAGGCAGCAGUGGGGAAUAUUGCACAAUGGGCGCAAGCCUGAUGCAGCCAUGCCGCGUGUGUGAAGAAGGCCUUCGGGUUGUAAAGCACUUUCAGCGGGGAGGAAGGCGUUAAGGUUAAUAACCUUGGCGAUUGACGUUACCCGCAGAAGAAGCACCGGCUAACUCCGUGCCAGCAGCCGCGGUAAUACGGAGGGUGCAAGCGUUAAUCGGAAUUACUGGGCGUAAAGCGCACGCAGGCGGUCUGUCAAGUCGGAUGUGAAAUCCCCGGGCUCAACCUGGGAACUGCAUUCGAAACUGGCAGGCUAGAGUCUUGUAGAGGGGGGUAGAAUUCCAGGUGUAGCGGUGAAAUGCGUAGAGAUCUGGAGGAAUACCGGUGGCGAAGGCGGCCCCCUGGACAAAGACUGACGCUCAGGUGCGAAAGCGUGGGGAGCAAACAGGAUUAGAUACCCUGGUAGUCCACGCCGUAAACGAUGUCGAUUUGGAGGUUGUGCCCUUGAGGCGUGGCUUCCGGAGCUAACGCGUUAAAUCGACCGCCUGGGGAGUACGGCCGCAAGGUUAAAACUCAAAUGAAUUGACGGGGGCCCGCACAAGCGGUGGAGCAUGUGGUUUAAUUCGAUGCAACGCGAAGAACCUUACCUGGUCUUGACAUCCACAGAACUUNUUGGUGCCUUCGGGAACUGUGAGACAGGUGCUGCAUGGCUGUCGUCAGCUCGUGUUGUGAAAUGUUGGGUUAAGUCCCGCAACGAGCGCAACCCUUAUCCUUUGUUGCCAGCGGUCCGGCCGGGAACUCAAAGGAGACUGCCAGUGAUAAACUGGAGGAAGGUGGGGAUGACGUCAAGUCAUCAUGGCCCUUACGACCAGGGCUACACACGUGCUACAAUGGCAUAUACAAAGAGAAGCGACCUCGCGAGAGCAAGCGGACCUCAUAAAGUAUGUCGUAGUCCGGAUUGGAGUCUGCAACUCGACUCCAUGAAGUCGGAAUCGCUAGUAAUCGUAGAUCAGAAUGCUACGGUGAAUACGUUCCCGGGCCUUGUACACACCGCCCGUCACACCAUGGGAGUGGGUUGCAAAAGAAGUAGGUAGCUUAACCUUCGGGAGGGCGCUUACCACUUUGUGAUUCAUGACUGGGGUGAAGUCGUAACAAGGUAACCGUAGGGGAACCUGCGGUUGGAUCACCU
rnacentral:rRNA from 1 species